UGGGCCCCGUGCGAUGUGCCGGUGUGAACCCUGUCAGGUCCGAGAGGAAGCAGCAGUAAGCAUUUUGGCGCGUGUGCUGCGGUA
rnacentral:SRP_RNA from 1 species